UACAGAGGGGGCAAGCGUUGUUCGGAAUUACUGGGCGUAAAGGGCGCGUAGGCGGCUCUGAUCGUCGGAUGUGAAAGGCCUGGGCUCAACCCGGGAACUGCGUUUGAGACUGGGUGGCUGGAGUCCGGGAGAGGUGAGCGGAAUUCCCAGUGUAGAGGUGAAAUUCGUAGAUAUUGGGAAGAACACCGGUGGCGAAGGCGGCUCACUGGACCGGUACUGACGCUGAGGCACGAAAGCGUGGGGAGCAAACAGG
rnacentral:rRNA from 1 species